UACGUAGGGUGCAAGCGUUAAUCGGAAUACUGGGCGUAAAGCGUGCGCAGGCGGUUAUGCAAGACAGAUGUGAAAUCCCCGGGCUCAACCUGGGAACUGCAUUUGUGACUGCAUAGCUAGAGUGCGGCAGAGGGAGAUGGAAUUCCGCGUGUAGCAGUGAAAUGCGUAGAUAUGCGGAGGAACACCGAUGGCGAAGGCAAUCUCCUGGGCCUGCACUGACGCUCAUGCACGAAAGCGUGGGGAGCAAACAGGAUUAGAGUACCCGGGU
rnacentral:rRNA from 1 species